rnacentral:rRNA from 1 species
GGUCAAGCGAACAAGUGCAUGUGGUGGAUGCCUUGGCGAUCACAGGCGAUGAAGGACGCGGUAGCCUGCGAAAAGCUACGGGGAGCUGGCAAACGAGCUUUGAUCCGUAGAUGUCCGAAUGGGGAAACCCACUCCUUUUGGAGUAUCCAUGGCUGAAUACAUAGGCCAUGCGAAGCGAACGCGGUGAACUGAAACAUCUAAGUAACCGCAGGAAAAGAAAUCAACCGAGAUUCCCAAAGUAGUGGCGAGCGAAAUGGGAUGAGCCUUGCACUCUUUAUUUGUAUUGUUAGCCGAACGCUCUGGAAAGUGCGGCCAUAGCAGGUGAUAGCCCUGUAGGCGAAAACAGUAUGAAAGAACUAGGUGUGCGACAAGUAGGGCGGGACACGUGAAAUCCUGUCUGAAGAUGGGGGGACCAUCCUCCAAGGCUAAAUACUCGUGAUCGACCGAUAGUGAACCAGUACCGUGAGGGAAAGGCGAAAAGAACCCCGGGAGGGGAGUGAAAUAGAUCCUGAAACCGCAUGCAUACAAACAGUCGGAGCCUCGCAAGGGGUGACGGCGUACCUUUUGUAUAAUGGGUCAGCGACUUACGUUCAGUAGCAAGCUUAACCGUAUAGGGCAGGCGUAGCGAAAGCGAGUCCGAAUAGGGCGUUCAGUUGCUGGGCGUAGACCCG